GACCCUGAUUUUGAGUGUCAACAACACACUGAUGCAGACACAACUUUCAAGGAUUCAAUGGCUGAAAAUGAUAUGACUUCUCCUGCAAAUACCCCUGCCAAAAGAAGUAGAGAAGAGGAUGGGUCAUCUGUAGUAGAUGUUGGUGAUGAUCUUGCACAAUUUUCAAGUAACAAGCUUAAAAAAGUGAUCAAACAGGAGAAAAAUCUGUGAAUUGAAACAUUUACUUUUUGGAUUAUGACUUUAUUCGUACAAUUUUAUUAGCAAGUACUUUGGUACAAUUUGAAGUAGUUUGGUUUGAAUUUUUA